AGGUGACGUGUGUCAAUGGCAAAUGGCUUCCAGAAGUCCCAGUGUGUGUCAGUGAUUCUCAAACGACUGAUAUAACUACAGAUCGUUAAAGACGUCACCAUUAUAUAUGUCUCCAACAGCUCUAAAGUAUCCAUCUUAUACAGGUCAGUAUCCACACUGGAUCAAUUCAAAAUGGUGGACAAACAACAGCUCGUGGACCUACAGGAGCACAGACAAAUUGAUUCGAGAUAUUGAAAGGUCAAGGAAACAGAACCCAAACCAUUCAUGGAGAGAUUUUGUGUCUCUCUCAAGUCAGCAACAAUUUUGAUCAGACUUUGAACUGUGAAAACAUAAUAACACUAUUUUGAACAGAUUCAUUUGGAGAAAACUAGACUCGAUGUGAAAUUUAAUUCUCGACUGUUUCUGUUGGAUCAAUAAAUUGGAAAAUAAAAUUCAGUGACCAUGUUCCCAACU
rnacentral:sRNA from 1 species